UCUUACUUAAAUUAGGUUUGUAUGCUUUACUCAAGUCUCACUAAAUUGUUCAUUCAACUCAAUUCAUGUGAGUAAUGUACAUGUUAGGCCCGAGAAAGGUACGUUAUUUUGAGUGAACUGGAUUUGAAUAUUUUUGUUACUGGAGUGAAGGCUUCAGCUCAACAGUGCUUCCAGAACAUUUGUGGACUUGCACAUUGGAAGAAGCAGAGCUUCUCUAAAGAGACUAAUGAUGUUGCCAUGAGGUCUGCUGUCCUGUGACGUCUCUCAGUUUUAUCUUGAUGCAGGUGCCAUGGCAGACUUCAUCCAGGUUCCUGUGGGAUUAUUGACUGUUACAUUAUGCUAGUAAACUGUACUGUUCAUGUAUUUCACAGAAGAGAGGAUAUGGAACAGCAGUUGCAGCCAAACCUGUUUGAAAAAUAACAAGUGCUGAAAAAACAGGCACUUUUCCUAACCUACCAACCUCCCUGGUGGCUGCUGUGGGCAGCAGCUUAUUUGUUUUAACAACACAGUGAAUAAGGAGUCAAGUGGUUGGAUUAAUUUGUUGGAGUGCAGAGGGAGUGCUCAAAGUUAGGAGUGCUGCAGAAGAGGACGAGGGGGAAUGAGUGUUGGAGGAUAAAGGAAGACGGCAGGCUGUAGGAGUUCAGAGGUAGAUAAACCUGGAAAGAGAACAGACAAGAAGACUAAAGGCAACACAAGUAGGAAGAGGACAAGUGAGACGGAAAAGAGAGGCUUCAGUUCCCAGAGCUCUGUGACAGCCACUCAUCCCCAGAGACCUCUUAUCUACAGGGGGCAUCUUUGACUUGAUAAUCCUGCUCUUCGUCACCCUGAAACCCCUUCUCUCUACACACAUCUCUAGAUCUACACCCCUUCCCAGGAGGGCGAAGCGCUACCUGUCACAGUGCCUAUACCUCCAGGCUGCUUGUGGGGCAGGAUACUGAGGGAGGUGGGGGUGGUGGAGUUGACACUGUGCCCGACUAAGAAGUCACCUUUCUGGGAUAUGAAUCCUAAUGAAUGCGACUAUGAAGGGGGUGGAGGAGGUGGAAACAAAAAGCAUGCUGCUGCUGCUGUUGCAGAAUGUGUGUGUUUCUGUGUGUGUGAGACAGAUGGGGAGUUGCAGAGUGCUGACAGGCCCUCUAUGCUUCCUGGCUGCCAGAUUAUUUUUGGUAAUUUAUAACCAUUGUUGCUUAAAGGAGCUUUUAUUUCCAACGGUUACAGAGGCAGCAGCACUGCAACAACAGCAAUGAAACUCACUCCAGCAGAUGAUGUGCUUCUGCUUUUUGUGUAUUUUGUGCAUUUAAAAUACACACAUAUAUAUAUAAAAUAUAUUUUUUGUUUGUUUGUUUUGUUUUGUUUUGAAUGUAGGCGGGCACCAGAGAUAGAAAUAGUCUCGUUGUGAGCAAGUAAACAAAAGACCUAAAAUUAUAUUGCAGCAUUGUAAAAAUAAAAAUAAAAAAGAAGCACAGGAGACAGAUAAUAUAUCCUCUUUAUGGGAUGAAAACUUCUUUGUCUAUUUGCAACCUCUAUUUUUUAUUGUGGUUAUUUUAUUGACACUAAUUUGUUCAUCUGUGGCUGACCCCAGA